UUAUUUUGGCUUUUUGGCCCCAUAUUAAGGCAGAGUUUGGUUUUUUGGGGGUGAUAGU
rnacentral:tRNA from 1 species